rnacentral:rRNA from 1 species
UACGUAGGGUCCGAGCGUUGUCCGGAAUUACUGGGCGUAAAGAGCUCGUAGGUGGUUUGUCGCGUUGUUCGUGAAAACUCACAGCUCAACUGUGGGCGUGCGGGCGAUACGGGCAGGCUAGAGUGUGGUAGGGGAGAUCGGAAUUCUUGGUGUAGCGGUGAAAUGCGCAGAUAUCAGGAGGAACACCCGUGGCGAAAGCGGCUCUCUGGGACGGUACUGACGCUGAGACGCGAAAGCGUGGGGAGCAAACAGG